rnacentral:sRNA from 1 species
GUAUAAUAGUUUUUACGUACAAUAAAGUCGGCUCACUCCCCAAUAGAUAGGGAGUGAUGCCCAUGACAACAUUCGGAUUACUGAUUGUUGCUAUGUUGUCACAAGACAAAAAGAAAUAGACCAUCCUUGAGCCUCAGAAACUUCUAGGUAAUGGUCUAUUUCACGUGACUAAUUCGAGCCAGCCACUCUAUGAGGGGCGACUAUUGUACUCGACCGUAGGUGUUAGUAGCACUUACG